rnacentral:rRNA from 1 species
GACGAACGCUGGCGGCGUGCUUAACACAUGCAAGUCGAACGGAAAGGCCCUGCUUUUGUGGGGUGCUCGAGUGGCGAACGGGUGAGUAACACGUGAGUAACCUGCCCUUGACUUUGGGAUAACUUCAGGAAACUGGGGCUAAUACCGGAUAGGAUCUCCUGCUGCAUGGUGGGGGUUGGAAAGUUUCGGCGGUUGGGGAUGGACUCGCGGCUUAUCAGCUUGUUAGUGGGGUAGUGGCUUACCAAGGCUUUGACGGAUAGCCGGCCUGAGAGGGUGACCGGCGACAUUGGGACUGAGGUAGGGACCAGACUCCUACGGGAGGCAGCAGUGGGGAGUAUUGCACAAUGGGCGGGAGCCUGAUGCGGCAGCGCCGCGUGCGGGAUGACGGCCUUCGGGUUGAAAACAGCUUUCGCCUGUGACGAAGCGUGAGUGACGGUAAUGAGUAAAGAAGCACCGGCUAACUACGUG